UACAGAGGUCUCGAGCGUUGUUCGGAUUCAUUGGGCGUAAAGGGCGCGUAGGCUGCGGGGCAAGUCGGGUGUGAAAUCUCAGAGCUCAACUCUGAAACUGCAUUCGAUACUGCCGUGCUUGAGGACUGGAGAGGAGACUGGAAUUUACGGUGUAGCGGUGAAAUGCGUAGAUAUCGUAAGGAAGACCAGUGGCGAAGGCGGGUCUCUGGACAGUUCCUGACACUGAGGCACGAAGGCCAGGGGAGCAAACGGG
rnacentral:rRNA from 1 species